rnacentral:lncRNA from 1 species
CCUUCUUGAGUUGGAUGAGUAGUGUCACCUCAUGGUACAUAAGGGUCCCACCUAUUAAUUGUAUAGGCUGUUAAUCAGGAGCUCAGAGUGUGGAGAGAUUUUAGCCUCUAUAUGCUCUCAUGUGAGCAUAUUUAUUAUUUUUGAUCUUUUUUGCAUGGUGUGGAUGGCUGCCAUGACAUGAAGUUGGCUAAGUAUAGAAGGAUAGUUCAGCUUAACAUAUAGCUCAAGAUAACUUAGCUCAUAUCAGGAUAACUCAUAUCAGUAUAGAUAGCUCUUUUCAGUACAUAUCUCCAGAUAACUCAGCUCAGUAUAUAGUUAGGAUAGCUCAGUUCAACAUGUGGCUCAGGA